CGAAUACUAGAAGGUCACAGCCUGUGUGCUGAGCUGCUAGCAAAACAUCUAUGAUGCUCCAAAGCUGCCAUUUUUCUUCCUUGACAAAGACUCCAUCUGCCACUGAGCCAUUUACAGCCUCCAAGUCAGAAUAUCAAUGAUUUCCAACCAUUCUGCAAGCCUGCUUUCACCUUGAUAUCACCUCUGUAAGCCAUCUAAAGCAAAUGAUACAUAUAUCCCCAACUAUAAGCAUGAAGCCCAUGCUUUAUUCACAUGAUAGGUAUUUAAGCUUCCCACUAAUGUACCAUUUUAUUUAUGCUGAGUUGAAAAGAAUUUUAAAGUAUAUAUAUCUGCUGUAAUUCUUGUUGCUUUACUUACAUGCAUUAAAUCAAAUAUAUUCAUAAAACUUUAAAACUGAAAAGACUGUACUACGUAGUGUUCAGUAAUGGCUCAGUAACUAAGACAACAAAACAACAUAUUUAUUACCCUUAAUACAAUUUGCUAGAAAAUUACUUCGUAUAAAACAGUUUCUUAGAAAUUGGAAACAUUAAAGCAAUGAAGAAAUGUUGAUAAAAUUUCUAGUUUUGUACUUAAAUCAAUGUUCUUAAUAUUAUAAAAAGUGAAACCCAUCUACCUAGCAAUAAAAGAGAGGCAGAGAAUUUUUCAAUUAUAUCUUGUUUUUUUCCUACAAUUUUUUGUUUGUUAAACAUAUCAGAAAUAGAUGCAAACUUCCAAGUACUAUGAAAAACUCUACUUCCAUUUUUAAAUAAAAGCAAUAUAAUCCUUGGUCAUUAAUAUUCAUAAAAAUGGAAAUAAUAACCUUAUUUAAAAUAUUAAUUUUAUCUGAAAGUAAUUCUCCAUAAAAUAAAGAUUCAGUUACGGCCUAUUAUAUGCAAAACAUUAAGGGGACUACAAAAAGGUUUAAAACAAGAUUCUUGGCCUCAAGUAGAGAAAAUUACACAUGAACUCAUGAAAAAGUACCUAAAAAGACAAGGCACUUUAUAGUUGCAGGAAGACUGUUACACAGGAAGGAAUUCUGGAUUACAGGUUAGGAGACUGAAGUCUAAUUAUAUCUACUCUGAACCCUCCAAAUGCUUAUGUUAGCCAUUUAAAUUUAACUCUAGGAAAAUUUUUUACUCAACUAUAAAGGGAGGUGACUAGAAUAGGUGACAUCUAAAGUCUCUUCUUGCUGUAUCACUUUAUUACACGAUACCAUGAGUCUAGAUGUCUGAUGAUUACAGAAACUAACUGACCCUAGAUUUUAAGUGCCACCUCAUUCAGGUAGAUAUGGCCUGUAUUAAAAAGGAAACAAGUUUUGGGUUUGGUCUUAAAGGUAGUUCAACAUUU
rnacentral:lncRNA from 1 species